ACUCGACCUCGGAAAUGUUUGUUAUGCCAUUUGUCAGUAAUGGUUAGAGCGCCACCUAGUGGGACGACUAUAAUAAUGAUUGAAUGAGAUGAAAUGUUAGCUGGUGGUUAAAUGCAUGAAUUCCAUCAAUGUGACAUCACAUCGGACGUGCUGGUUUUAGGUGUUGGGCGUGGCUCGACACGCCAGGGUGCGAGGGCCCUCAUAUCGCUGCUUGCAGCUUUAAUUAGGGCCCGAGCACCGAGAGUGCGAAGGCCCUAUUGUAUCUGCUCUGUUUCUUAUUAUUAUUAUUAUUAUUAUUAUUAUUAUUAUUAUUAUUAUUAUUAUUAUUAUUUCGGCAAAUGAAUCGGCCUUUUGAGGGCCUAAACAUGCUCGAAAACUCAUGAAAUUUUGCAGACGCGUCAGGUCUGGUGAAAAUUUACGUAUUUUAAUGUCCGUAGACAUGUCCAGGGAAAAUUGGCUCAGUAGCGCCACCUAGAAAAAUGAGAAAC
ensembl:lncRNA